GGAGCUAACCAGAUAGUCGCUGCUUCGUUGAUGUCCUUAGGGAGACUGACGGAGGGGAGGAAAGUCCGGGCUUCAUAGAGCAGGGUGCCAGGUAACGCCUGGGGGGCGCAAGCCCACGACAAGUGCAGCAGAGAGAAAACCGCCGAUGGCUCCUAUCUUGAUAGUGAGCACAGGUAAGGGUGAAAGGGUGCGGUAAGAGCGCACCGUGCGUCUGGCAACAGUUCGUAGCAAGGUAAACUCCACCCGAAGCAAGACCAAAUAGGCUCCCACAUUGCGUUGCUCGCGUAUGGGAGCGGGUAGGUUGCUUGAGCCAGUGAGCGAUUGCUGGCCUAGACGAAUGGCUAUCACCGCGCAAGCGGAUACAGAACCCGGCUUAUAGGUAUGCUCCAACU
rnacentral:RNase_P_RNA from 2 species